rnacentral:rRNA from 1 species
GAUGAACGCUGGCGGCGUGCCUAAUACAUGCAAGUCGAGCGAACGGACGAGAAGCUUGCUUUUCUGAUGUUAGCGGCGGACGGGUGAGUAACACGUGGAUAUCCUACCUAUAAGACUGGGAUAACUUCGGGAAACCGGAGCUAAUACCGGAUAAUAUUUUGAACCGCAUGGUUCAAAAGUGAAAGACGGUCUUGCUGUCACUUAUAGAUGGAUCCGCGCUGCAUUGGCUAGUUGGUAAGGUAACGGCUUACCAAGGCAACGAUGCAUAGCCGACCUGAGAGGGUGAUCGGCCACACUGGAACUGAGACACGGUCCAGACUCCUACGGGAGGCAGCAGUAGGGAAUCUUCCGCAAUGGGCGAAAGCCUGACGGAGCAACGCCGCGUGAGUGAUGAAGGUCUUCGGAUCGUAAAACUCUGUUAUUAGGGAAGAACAUAUGUGUAAGUAACUGUGCACAUCUUGACGGUACCUAAUCAGAAAGCCACGGCUAACUACGUG